CAAAAUGCAUUGCUAACACAACUGCACAUGUUUGUUUAUUGGAAAGAACAUCACAAAGGGUGACAAUCCCAUGUGUCAUGUGUAUGUUUUGUGUACAGUGUGCAUUAUAUGAAUCACAUUCAUUGACAAUUGAAUGCAAAUAGAAUGGUAAAUUUCAUUUAAUCAUAAAUAUGUUGUUGACAACUUAUAGCAAACAAAUACCAUGAGGGAAAUGUGAAAAGGAUUUUGAAAAGAAAAUUAAAAGAGCUUGCAAUUGCUGAACUGAUAAGCAAACAAAACAUACGUGUGUAUGCAAGAUUGUUGUAAUGCUUAGCAUCUUUUGCAAGGCUAUUGCAAUGAUUUUUUGUAUAGUGAUGCUACCUUUGUUUAGAAUUUGGAAUGUCUUUUUUUGAGUGCGAAUGGAAUUUUGUUUGUUAGCAAAGGAAUGCACUUUUAGAUUCAUUGUUUGAUUUGAUUUAAAAAUGUUUGUGACACAUGUCUUUGUGUUAGUUUCUUGAUU
rnacentral:rRNA from 1 species